rnacentral:rRNA from 1 species
AGCGAACGCUGGCGGCAGGCUUAACACAUGCAAGUCGAGCGGGCCUUUCGGGGUCAGCGGCGGACGGGUGAGUAACGCGUGGGAACGUGCCCUCUGGUUCGGAAUAACUCAGGGAAACUUGAGCUAAUACCGGAUACGCCCUUUUGGGGAAAGGCUUGCUGCCGGAGGAUCGGCCCGCGUCUGAUUAGCUAGUUGGUGAGGUAACGGCUCACCAAGGCGACGAUCAGUAGCUGGUCUGAGAGGAUGAUCAGCCACACUGGGACUGGGACACGGCCCAAACUCCUACGGAAGGCAGCAGUGGGGAUUAUUGGACAAUGGGCGCAAGCCGAAUCCAGCCAGGCCGCGUAAGUGAUGAAGGCCUUAGGGUUGUAAGCCUCUUUUAUCCGGACGAUAAUGACGGUACCGGAGGAAUAAGCCCCGGCUAACUUCGUG